UGAUUCGCCUUCAGCAUCCUCCGUGGCUGUUGGGGGGGCGAGGAGGGGGAGGGGUUACGUUCCUUUACAGAAUCUGAUGUUCCCGGGCCCAACUUGGCUCAACUCUUUGUCCCUCUCCUAGGGAGGUGAUCAGAUGGGGGCGCCAAGGGUGCGGGCACCCAGAAAGCGCGCGGUGCACGGUGCACGGUGCGCCUGCACUGGCUGUUUGGAUUUCGCAGGGAGAAGAAAGCCUGUAUGACUCUCUUGAAAAAACGAGGGGGCCUAAAGUGUUUGGGGACGUUCUAUAUAAUGACUAGCCCGCUGGCAUCUUCGGCCCUUGGAGAAAGUGAUUGGGCGGCUUUGCCAGCAAGUUGAUUCCCGGACGCUGGGUCAGUCGGGGCUCAGCUCUGAGGCUCUUGACUCAGGCUGGGAGUUUGGCUUCUGAGAAUCAUAUUCAUCCUCCUUCUGUCUUCUCGCCUCCUCCCCCCCGCCCCAAGUCUUUUCUCUGUCCGCUUUGCUAUCCAUCCACCAUCCUUUCCAUUUGUGAAACUUGAACCGUACUUGAGAACCCGCCUCCCCCUCACCAAUGCCAUCUUCACCAUUAUGAAAUCCGAACCCUGUUUAUCAGGGUCCUGGGCGCCCUUUGCCCUCUCAUCUGGUUUAAUUAUGUGGUAUUUGGGAUUUGGUGGUCAAGUGGGGGAAACAAUACCUCAGAGCCUUCCCUCACUUUCCUCCAAGGGUUAAAUUUUAAACUGCUUUCUUCUCUGAACAAGUCCGGAAACCCAGAGUGGGGGUGGGGUGGGGUAGGGUUGCCCCCUCCCGUUACAAAUAUUAAUAACCGGUUCAGUUUUCUAGACUGAUUUAUUCCAAAGUUAUGCAAAAAUUUGGGGGGAGGCAGGGAGAGAAACAAAAAGAAAAGAAACUAACAACUUUUUUCUAAGAUUUUAAAGCGAUAGGCAAGUCGAAAGAGCGGAGAUUGACUGGGGAAAGAAAGGUUGUCUGAAGCCGCCCAAUAUUUGGAAGACGGGUUCACCUGCUUGGAAAUUGGGACUAUAGAUUUCUUCGUAUAAGGAAAUGCAUUUGGUGUUAAUCGUAUUUAUUUUAACUCUAUGCGGGAUGUCUAUAGGGGUGUACUUAAAAAAAAAAAAUCCGAAAAGCCUGCAAAAGAAUCCAGAGUAAAAACUAUUGUUGGAUCGAGUUGGUUUUUCACCUCAACAGCGCCACCUUUCGGCAAAGUGCCGUUGGCGAAAGCAAAGAGUAGACUAAUGAGACUCCCAGGCUUCCUUCCAAGGCUAGCACUCAGAUGGGGGAUUGUGCAGAGCAGGGCAGGAGAAUGGCAGAAGGUUCUCGGCUCUUCAGACAAUGCUGAGGUUAUUUAUUGGAGGACGCUCACCGAAAGCAUGGGUUCUCAGCAAACAGCGAAUAUCGUCACGUCUCCUGCCUGGGAGGAACUCACUGUGGAAAGAAAGGAUCGACUCUCGAAGAGCGUCUUCUGGCCUCCAUGGGACCACGCUUCCUGGUUGCCCUCUCCCAGGUAGGACCACGUGAUCGCGGCUGCCCUCUGAGGGCUCAAGUCCCAGAGUUAAGCUGGGUGAUGGGUCUUCCCAUCACCCAGCAAGUGUGACACUCGGCCUCCCUGGUCACAGCAUGCCGGCUCUUACUACACACCAGCCUUUCUCAAGCUUCUCCGUCUGACAUGCAACUCCAGGGACUGGUAUCACAUGUGUGGUGAUUGACCCAGAAGCCCUGGGCCACUUCUCACAUCUCCUGUGUGUCCUAUGAGUCCCUUCAUGUGCUCAUAGUUUUGACCCUACACGCAGAAAUGAACAGCGGUUCCGGAACGCCCUCUCUUCUUCACAUCAGCCUUUUUCUUGCUUCCCCUCGUCUCUUUGGAUAAGAAUGUGUUGUUGACUAGUUUUAAUUUGCUUCCCAGCUUUGAGUCAGCUGCAAAUGAGAUUCAUGUUUGCUUGUUUUUUUAAUGACUUAGCCUGUCUGAACCAGAUCAGUAUACCCCGCGUGUCGGAGACUGUGCCUAAGAAAUGUCUGGUACAGCCUGGGGACACUGGAGAGCUGUACAAAUGGUUGUUUCUCUAAGGUUCUUCUAACUCUGUUGAAAUGCCAACACUGAAGGGCCAAAGUCCUGGGCUUCCCAGGGGAGACUGUCCCUCCUUAAU